UGUUCAGGUGCAAGCACUGCAGCGCAGGGUCCCAGGUCGCAGCCUGUCUCAUACUCGUCGUGCAGCUGCCCCAGACAAGCCUGAUGUGGGCCAGUUCACAGAUCCAGAGCCUAAGGAGGAGGCCAGCAUCACUUGAAGAAGGAUUGUGAAACACUGCCACAAGUAUAUACUGUCUGAUAAAUUUGAUGGAGCAAGUCAUCGUAACACCUGGAUCUCAACUAUUGCCCUGGUUUUGACAACAGGGGUGUGAGCAAAGGCAGAGACGUGGAGUUGAAGGAGAUGUUGCUGCUGCCCCACAGCUUACACCACAGAG